UUGGAGCAUCUGUCCUGAGAGAACAGUAAUCUUUGCCUGGGUCCAACAGGAAACCUUGACGUCUGAACGGAGGCUGCGUAGGAGGUAACCACAUGCCAUAUUGCCACAGCUUUGAUGCAAACAAAAUAUGGCCAAAGAGCCUUUACCCCAAGUCCUCAUGUGAACAGGCCACUCAUCAUCAUCAUCAAGCAGGAGCUGAUGAGGUGUGUGAGAAGGGGUUUGCAGGAGGGGAUCAACAGCUACAUGAGAGAUGAGAUCUAGCCUGGCUGGGAGAUGGAUGGGAAGACAUGUAAGGAUCGCCAGCAAUGCACAUCACGGGGUGGUGUCAGUAAUGCCUCGACCAUUCAUCAAGGACCAGCUGUGGCACCUGUAAUUAAUCUAAGGAAUGUCCCCCAAGGGAGCAGGAGGGUAUCGAAGGAUGCACCCCCCAAUCCCUUGCAGCUGUAUUGACAAACUCCUUAGAUAAGCCUCGAAGAGGUGGACUGAGUGAAACUGGGUGUUUCUCCUGGAGCACCAGGACUGCUGAUCGCCGGCCAUUGUCUAAGCCCGAUACUUGGUGGCUCUAUUGUAUCGCUGAUGACCUUG